UCCGGUUUGUCACCGGCAGUCCCAUUAGAGUGCUCAACUGAAUGUAGCAACUAAUGGCAAGGGGGGCUACAUCUCUGCAGCUUUCUGGUGUAUGUCAAACCCAGGUAAGGUUCUUCGCGUUGCAUCGAAUUAAUCCACAUGCUCCGCCGCUUGUGCGGGCCCCCGUCAAUUCCUUUGAGUUUUAGCCUUGCGGCCGUACUCCCCAGGCGGGGUACUUAAUGCGUUAGCUACGGCACGGAUCCCGUGGAAGGAAACCCACACCUAGUACCCACCGUUUACGGCGUGGACUAC
rnacentral:misc_RNA from 1 species